rnacentral:lncRNA from 1 species
CCACCGCUUGUAAUAAUUCAUUUACUCCGCCGCCGCGUUCUACACAAUUCACCGGAAAUCGAAAAGUUGAAAUGCUUCGUCCGAAACUAGCCUCCCGCAAGCCGCCACCUCCACGGCGUUGCUGCACCGACGGCAGCGUUUCGGAUCCCCAUUCCGACAUUCUUAGUAGAGAUUCGGUAAGCACUCUCCCUUAUAUUUCAUAUGCAGAUGCCUCUCUUUCAAAAUUAGGUUACACCUCAAAUUCCUUAAUUAUGCGUAUACAUUUCAUAGAAAAGGUUUUUUUAUUUGAAAUUUAGGUUAGAGAUUAGUAUAAAAAGACAUUGAUAUGCAUAUGGCUGUCUUAUUCUCUGCAUUUAAGUUUUGGACAGAUAAAACACAUUUAUACAAAUUAGUGAAUUGGUUAGUCGAUUGAUUAGUAGAGUGAUGAUGUUGUACCAAAACAAAAAUUUGUUUAAUAGCCGUCUUACUCUCUGCAUUUCAAAUAUUUAGCUUAAAUUUGGGGCAGAUAAAACACUUGUAUACAAAUUAGUGAAUUGGUUAGUCGAUUGAUUAGUAGAUGAGACAUAUUUGCAGAUGAGACAUAUUUAUGACAAUAUCUGUAUUCAACAAGCAGAUGAUAUACAUUAGAAGUCGGGCUUAUUAUUCCCGGAGGUGUAAAAAGGGGAUGCCAACAAACAUAGAGUCCCUCCCCACAGAGCUAUUGAUUGAAAUCCUCCUCCGAUUGCCGGCCGGUCAUCUCUACGAGAGAGCGAGGCUCGUCUGCCGGCGGUGGUACCACAUUAUCCAUUCUCAUGCCUUCAUCAACACGCAGAUUCACGGUGCUACCUAUGGCCUCCUUUUAUCACCCCCAAACUGGAUUAUUACUCUGCCACUUUAUGUAACAGCCGACGCAGACGGUGGAAUUCACACAGCUAAGAUAACUCACCUCUCCAAAUCGAGAGUUGUUGCUACCUGCAACGGUUUGGAGUUGGAAGCCAAAGGUUACCAAUUCCCUCGUCUUGUGAUUGUGAAUCCUGCAACGAAGCAGUCAUUCCACCUCCCACCAUUGCCUACAGGCGUAAAUGUAAUCUAUGCCGUGCUCCGGUAUGGUUUUGCAUAUUCUGCAGCUUCCUUGGCGUAUAAAGUGAUUGCACCGUACCUAGAAACUGACUACGGUCUUGACGUGCUCACCGUUGGAAUCGAUGAAUCCUGGAGGAACGUUGAGGUUCACCACCUCCCCGACCAUUUCAGGCCAUUUUUGUUCUAUAGGGAUCCCUUGACUAGUGAAGGUUUCGUGCACUGGGGAAGGGGGAGGUACUGUGUGACGAUGGAUGUGGAGACGGAGAUCAUUACACUGAGUGAAGCCCCUUGUGAGUACCAUGAACGCGACUAUUAUUAUCUGUCAACUGGGAGGUGUCUGUCUCUCCUGGUAGCGUGUGGGGAUCUGUCGUGGGAGGUUUGGGAGAUGAAGGCAGAGACGGGCGAGUGGAGGAAGGCGCUGCCCAACGUCGACUUGGGAGCUCAGAAAUGCAGGAUUCAACGUUUAGCUCCUAAAGAUGCUCCUCGAGUUCUUGUGCCACUUGGUUGGGUUAACUAUCCACAGGUUUUGGCCUUCUAUUUUGGCGAAGAUAUUUAUCAUGGGUGCCAAUGGCGGCCUUUCAUUUUCUACAAUCUUGAUACGCAUAAACUCCACUACAUAGAGCUUCCACAAUCCAAUACUAGUGAGUAUGAGGCUUUUCCGCAUAAGAAUAAUCUGAUAUGGCUAAGCUAAAAGAGUAUUAUUGUUAGUAUUAUUGUUUAUAUUUGGUUUAAGUUAAAAGAACUUAUAUAUUUUGGGGCAAUUUUAAAAAAUAUUUUAUGAUGUUUAUUUCUUCAAGACGCAUCAGCUCAUGUUGUCCGAAUAUUUUAUUUUAGUGAAAAGAGUAGUAGUAUUGAAGGUGAUAGAACAUUUAUAAUCACUUUUGAAUGGACACCUAUAACAAUCACAUUGCUAUUGGAUUACAAAUCAGCGUACAUUGUAUUAUGUAAUAGAAGCUCAAAAGUAAGGCAAAGUCAUUUUUGCAAUACAUUAUUCAUUUUACACAUAGUGCUAUGCUAUGUAUGUAGAUCCAUGUGUUGUUGUGCUUAAAUGCGUGAGAUCAGAACAAUGAACAUGCAUGAUUUUGGAGAAAAAGUGUGGACAACAGUGCAACUGUGGAAGGAAAUGUGUUGUUGUGCUUAAAUGCGUGAGAUCAGAACAAUGAACAUGCAUGAUUUUGGAGAAAAAGUGUGGACAACAGUGCAACUGUGGAAGGAAACCUAGAUAAGUUCAUGCUAUAUUUAUAAUGUUUGUAAAUUUAGGUUAAAAAGUAACCAUGAAAUCAAAGUUGAGACUAUAUAUUUUUUGAUAAUAACCCUAAUAAAUAAUGAUUCCUACACGUGCGCUCUGCGUGUUUAUAACACAAAACGAAUGGUAAUAAUACAAGUUGAGCUUAAGACACAAGCUGAAGGAUGCGGGUUCAAACCCUCUUACAAAUGCAAGGUCAAUUACAGGUUACAAAAGCUUAAAUAGAGACGUUGCUCAAGUAACCAUGGCCUUAUGACCAAAGUACUGCACGAAAUCCAAUAACAUUCUAAGGAUUAUUGAGGGUAGAAGGAGUAGAACUGAAGAGCGCAGAAGAUGAAGGAUAUCAGAGCGUGUUGAGGGCGAGGGAAAUGCAAUCUGAUCAGAAGGUGCAAAUAAGAAUGGAAGUUCAAAUACCUUAUCCCUUAAGCAAUGAAUUUUUUUACUUGUCGGAAUUGCAUGGUAAUUUAUAUGCACAAAAACUCCCGUGUAAUCGGUUACACCGUGUAAUCAGGGAUUCGAAUGACACUACUUCAAUAUAUAAAUGACACUUUAAAAUGUUAAAGUGUUAUUUGUAUGUUGAAGUAGUAUCAUUCGAACUCCCAAUUACACGGUGUAACCGGUUACACAGAAAACCACCUGAUUUAUAUGAGUCGGUUUGUUUUGAUAACUGUGUCUCAUGAAAUUCAAUUAUAUCAUAUACGUUUCAAAAUUACACUAUUUGAGAGUUGGUUAAAAUUUUGUUCAAUUGUAUACCAUAAAAAUUGGGGGCUUUUUUGUUUGUGAUAAAAACCAAGUUUUUAAGUCGAGUUCAUUACAUUAAGUUGUCUUGGUGCAUGUUUAAUUAUAUUCAUAAAUACAAUUUGAAUAAAUUUUAGCUUCGACUAAAGGUUAUCUAAACUCGAUUUGCUUGUUUAUAUCAUAUUGGAGACACAUUAUUUGAAGGCCCCCAUCUUUUUAAAUACCAAAGCAUAAAAAAGACUAGUUAUAUAGGCUCUUUAUAAAGUCCAAUAUCGAUAUCGCGAUUGCGUUACUCGGUAUUAAGGAAACUCAGAGCGACACGAUGUAUUUGGGUCUUCCCACGUUUACUUUACCAAAAAAGAAGUUAAAGUUUGAGUAUCUCAGGAAUAUGAUUUAUAAAAAGCUCAGUGGGUGGGAUCACAAGAUGUUCUCUACCGGGGGUAAGGAGGUUCUUAUUAAAUCCAUCCUCCAAUCGAUUCAUACGUACACUACAGCAUGCUUUCGGCUUCCCGUAGGCAUAUGUACUGAUAUUGAGAAAGCUUGUAGGAAUUUUUGGACUGUGUGGGAGAAGCUUUGCCAGCCGAAAUCGAGGGAAGGGUCUUAUAAAGUUUGGCGUAUUAUAAAGAAGCUGGAUUCUUUUCUUGCGAGGGUCUUAAUACACAUAUAUUUUAGGGAUUGUGACAUUAUGGAAGCCACAGUGACUCCGAACUGUUUGUUCACUUCAAGCAAGUGGCACCCUCCACGCCAGGUGUUCUCUGGCUUUAUGUAGCUAUUAAAUUGAGAUGUCGAUGUUGAGGUUAAUUGCGAAUCCUAGACGAGGCUACCAUUGUUGCCCAAUAUGGAAGGUAUCAAAUUUCGUUCUAUUUGCUGCUAAGGCUAUUCGAAAGAUGAAAAUUUUAGAGUUGUGUUUGGGUUUAAUUCAUAUCAUUAAUUUCAAAUAAAAUUUCAGAGUUAAUUUAUUCAAAUUUCAGAAUUAAUUCAUCAAAGUCAACAUUAAUUUGACCACCAAAAAAUUUGUGUUAAAAUUAUUCUGAUCAAUAAGUUAACGUAUUUUUUUGACAUUUUUUAAAAUUCAUAUUAAAAAUUAAAAUUCUUGCAAAGUUUAUAUAUUUAUCCGCUAAUAAUAAUUAAAAAAAAAAUCUUUUUAUUCCUUCCGUCCACGAAACAACUUCCUAUAUUUCCUUUUUGGGACGUCCACAAAAAAAUUUCCUAUCCAUUUUUGGACUAUACCCCACCACUUAUAAUUACUUACUUUUCACUUUUUCACAACUCUCAAUAUUAAUUAUAACACAUUUUCACCUCUCUCAAUACACACAACAACUUUUUCUUUACUCUCAAUACACUCAACAAUAUUUUUUUAAACUUCGUGUCACUCCUCCUAGAAAGUUCUUUCAUGUACGGAGGGAUGUAUUUAUUUGGAUUUGGGCGGGAAACUGCUGGUAUUUAUUUGGACCCACCGCUUCUACUUCAUUUACUCUGACGCCUCGUUUUACACAGUUCACUGAAAAAAAAAAAAAAAAAAAAAAAAAAACUGAAAUGUUUCGUUUGAAACCAGCCUUCUGCAAGCCACGGCCUCCUGCACUGACGAAAGCCAUCCCGACAUUCUUAGUAGAGCGUAAUUAGGUUGAAGCACUCUCCCUCUUAUUUUCCCUUUUUGUGAUAUGCAAAUGACCGUCUUUGAAUAUUAAUUAGGUUAGAGCUUAAAUUCCUUAUGCGUAUACAUUUCAUAAGUAAAGAUCUUGUCUGUGAAAUUUAGGUUAGAGAUUAAUAAUAAGAAAACAUGCGUUUGAUAAGCACAUGGUUGUCUGAUUCUCUGCAUUUCAGAUAUCUACUUAUGUUUUGGGUGGAUAAAACACAUGUAUUUGGGUUAACAGUGUUUCAAAAUUAGGUUACAGCUGAAAUUCCGUAUGCAUAUAUAUAUGUUUCAUAAGAAAAGGUUUUUUAUUUGAAAUUUAGGUUAGAGAUUGAUAUAAAAAGACAUCGAUAUUGAUAUGCAUAUGGCUGUCUUAUUCNAUAUGUUUCAUAAGAAAAGGUUUUUUAUUUGAAAUUUAGGUUAGAGAUUGAUAUAAAAAGACAUCGAUAUUGAUAUGCAUAUGGCUGUCUUAUUCUCUGCAUUCAAGUUUUGGGCAGAUAAAGCAGUUGUAUACAAAUUAGUGAAUUGGUUAUCGAUUGAUUAGUAGAUGAGACAUAUAUAUGACAAUAUCUGUAUUCAAUAAGCAG